UUUAGGGAACCAGUAGUAUCAUUCGAGAGAAAUUCAGUUUCCUCAUAUUUUGACAAAUUAUGGUGUUCGUGAUAUUAUUCCACUGUUGCAAGUUCUAGUUGGGAUGCUGCUAAACUUCGCAGCAAACAUUCUGAAAUUCUGAGGGUCAUGUUUAUAGUAGAAUGCACAUUUUUAUUGUUUUAUGCCCUUUAUCGCCUGUUACACAUACCAGUCCGACUUGUAAAGGAAGUUGUGAGAGCUGAUGGACGUAACUCCGUGCAGUCUGGUAGCCAGUUACCGACGUUUUGGAAGCAAGAGGCUCACUCUAAAUUGGUGAACUCUGCAAUCGAAACUGAGCAACAAUCUACACAACGCCAGGAAUGCCGAGAAUUUUGCUGCAGAGAGCUGAAGAAACAUUUCCUGCUGUGACAAAAGGGAUG